GUCACAUAUCUCUGGCUUCUUCAACCCGACACCAAGUCCUAUCAAUUCUACAUUCCUCUCGACUAUGAUCUCUCUCCUCUCUAUUUCCUGAAGGUCGAAUGGGUAAACCAAAUGCUCUGGGGUUCUAUCCGCAUUCCCACUCCCUUUGUCCAAGGCCUUAUCAUCUUUCUCCUCUUUACUGACUUCCAUGUUUCUUACCAGGAUCACCUUUCCAUAAUGCAUAUUGCACCAAAUUACCAGGUUCCCUAUGGUACAAAAUUCUAAUGACCUUGGGUUUGGCAUUUAUGGCCCUUUAGGAUUUGCCCCCUACUCAUUUUUCCACCAAAGUUGAAUGAUUGGCACAUUUAUACUUUCUUAAAUUUACUGACUCCAAAAUAGCAUGAAGAGAUGAUGCACACUGGGGCUCAAGAUGUAGACAGUGAAUAAUCGAGUUACGUUAUCCAAGAAUAAUGAAGUUAGAUCAUAACUUGGAUAUCUUAAGAAAGAAACAUAGGAUGGUUUACUAUUUGGAAUGAACAACAAUAUGAGGGACAGAGAAUACUGAACACCAGCAACUCUCUAAAUUAUAUCUGUGUUCUGUGUUCCAACAAAUGAAAGAACAUUGUGUUCUGUGUUCCAGCAAAUGAAAGAACAUUCAAAACAAGCAAGUUUAGAAGGCAAAAAACUUUAUUGAGAAUGUAUGGAUUGAAUGUACUCCACAUAAGAGGCAUGGCUAAAUGAAUGUUCAUCAAGGCCUGAGAUGUGUGACCCUAAGAAACAAGACUGAUGGUUUAAUAAAGAACCAACAAAGACCAAGAAAAAAGAUGAAAAUGCUAACACUGAAAGAUAAAACACCGGCUGCAGGAUGUGGGAGAAAUGUCUACUAACUGUAAAGCAUGUGGUUUGAGGUGUUCAUCUGCAAGGACGUGUAUUGAGAAAACAAAAUGGUGGUUGGCCUAUGCUUUUCUCAUGAAGCAGAGCAACUCCAGCAGCCUGAGAGAAGGCAGAAAGACACAUAGAUUAAUUUAUCUUGCUCAGAGAUACAGAGUCUGUCUAAGAAGAAUUGAAUAUGUGAGUGCUGUCUUUUGAGAUGGACAUAGAACUCUUUCUUCCCCUACCCCAACCCAAAUUUCUAGAUUUAUUUGGAGACAACAAUCUCCCUAAAACAACAUGGUGGGUGUAUGUGUGUGUGUAGCAAAUGCAUUAUAUAAGGCUGGCUCCUCAUAAGUAAUAAAUAAAAUAAUAAAGAUGUGAGUGGAAAACAAAAGAGUCAAUUCUAAGAAUUGUGGUCCUUUUAAUAAUAAGAAGAAGAGGAGUAAGAAAAGAAAACAUUUUUACAGAACUUAAUGUGCAUUUUAUGUAUUAAUUAGUUCUGAGGACAAUCCUAUAUUAGACUAGCAUAAACUAUGCUGUAGGAAAAAGAAAUUUAAAACUCCAAAAUCUCAGUAAUUAAGUUAGCACAACACAAGUUUAUUUCUUG
rnacentral:lncRNA from 1 species